AUACGUAGGGGGCGAGCGUUGUCCGGAAUUACUGGGCGUAAAGGGCGUGUAGGCGGCCUGGCAAGUCGGUUGUGAAAUCCCUCGGCUCAACCGGGGAAUGGCAGUCGAAACUGUUGGGCUUGAGUGCAGGAGAGGAGGGUGGAAUUCCUGGUGUAGCGGUGAAAUGCGUAGAUAUCAGGAGGAACACCGGUGGCGAAGGCGACCUUCUGGCCUGUUACUGACGCUGAGGCGCGAAAGCCAGGGGAGCAAACAGGAUUAGAUACCCUGGUAGUCCUGGCUGUAAACGCUGGGUACUAGGUGUAGGGGGUUUAGAUACCUUCUGUGCCGUAGUUAACGCAUUAAGUACCCCGCCUGGGGAGUACGGUCGCAAGGCUGAA
rnacentral:rRNA from 1 species